AUUGAACGCUGGCGGCAUGCCUUACACAUGCAAGUCGAACGGUAACAGGUCUUCGGAUGCUGACGAGUGGCGAACGGGUGAGUAAUACAUCGGAACGUGCCUAGUAGUGGGGGAUAACUACUCGAAAGAGUGGCUAAUACCGCAUGAGAUCUACGGAUGAAAGCAGGGGAUCGCAAGACCUUGUGCUACUAGAGCGGCCAAUGGCAGAUUAGGUAGUUGGUGGGAUAAAAGCUUACCAAGCCGACGAUCUGUAGCUGGUCUGAGAGGACGAUCAGCCACACUGGGACUGAGACACGGCCCAGACUCCUACGGGAGGCAGCAGUGGGGAAUUUUGGACAAUGGGCGCAAGCCUGAUCCAGCAAUGCCGCGUGCAGGAUGAAGGCCUUCGGGUUGUAAACUGCUUUUGUACGGAACGAAAAGCCCCGGGUUAAUACCCUGGGGUCAUGACGGUACCGUUAGAAUAAGCACCGGCUAACUACGUGCCAGCAGCAGCCGCGG
rnacentral:rRNA from 1 species